UACGUAGGGUGCAAGCGUUGUCCGGAAUUAUUGGGCGUAAAGAGCUUGUAGGCGGUUUGUCGCGUCUGCCGUGAAAGUCCGGGGCUCAACUCCGGAUCUGCGGUGGGUACGGGCAGACUAGAGUGAUGUAGGGGAGACUGGAAUUCCUGGUGUAGCGGUGAAAUGCGCAGAUAUCAGGAGGAACACCGAUGGCGAAGGCAGGUCUCUGGGCAUUAACUGACGCUGAGACACGAAGGCCAGGGGAGCAAACGGG
rnacentral:rRNA from 1 species